AUUUAUAUGGCAUGUGUUAAUGUUCCACCAGGUGUCUGGCUUGGUCCUGGACCUGGUCGGGGCAAUGUCUCGGCCAACCUACACAGAAAUGGAGUCUUUCACCCACAUAUCCCAGGGCCUGUCUCACACCUCCAUCCUCCUCAUAGCGGUGGGCAUCAUCGUCUCCCUGCUGGCCUUCCUGGGUAGCAUUAGGGCGUUGUCUGACAGACCGUUUGCAUUUUGCUUUUGGAGAGUAACAUCUUGGUUGUUUGUACUCUGUAGUUCACACACUUCCUAAUGCUGAUCCUCAGUGUCUGGGAUUCUCUUCUAUGUCUUCAGAAACAAGGUGGAGAGAAGGAUCACCCUGAAAGUUAACGAGGUGAUCAUGCAGCACAGCCCCAGGGAUAAGGUUGCCAUCGAUGACCUACAACAUGCAGGCUUUGUGCAGGUGAUCAAAGAGUCCCUGAAGAGGAACCUGGUGUGGCUGGGUGCCGCCUGCAUCAUACUGGGUCUCAUAGAGUUAGUGGGAUGCAUCGUGGGAAUGAAGCUCUUUCGGGAUGUCAAGAAGAGAGAGGUGUAUGAGAAUUUAGGUUAAAGAGGGAGGGACUGGCUUCGGUCAAGACAAUAAAUGCCCAUACUAUUCUAUUGUAAAUCGGGGGAGAAUGCUGUGACUCUCAUCAUAAUGCAGUUUAGAUCCUGUGCAGCCUAUUGUCUUUCCAAAUAUUGAAUUGUUAUCAGUGAUUGGUUGUUUUGUUGUUGUUGUUUUUUCUGGAAUGUUCCGAUUUUUUAUGGUGGUGGAGGCAAAGAGGUAAGAAUAACAGUGCAGCUUGAAUUCACACAUUGUUGAGUCGAUUUGUUUUUGUUGUCGUUUUGAAUGUCUGCAUUCUGUGUCUGCCAUGUUUCACCAGGCCAUUUGGUCCAGGAGGUGAGGAGGUCACCUGUCACACAGUCAUUCUCCCAUGUUAUUUAGGCGGUUGUUCCUGGGUGGUUCACUAGGAACAUUUGCUCCCGUCCCCUCCAAGCGAUAAGGGUGUGGUGGUGCUAAUUAGAGUUUCUUCAGACAGCUGGGAU